rnacentral:rRNA from 1 species
GAUGAACGCUGGCGGCGUGCCUAAUACAUGCAAGUCGAGCGAACAGACGAGGAUCUUGCUCCUCUUACGUUAGCGGCGGACGGGUGAGUAACACGUGGAUAACCUACCUAUAAGACUGGGAUAACUUCGGGAAACCGGAGCUAAUACCGGAUAAUAUAUUGAACCGCAUGGUUCAAUAGUGAAAGACGGUUUUGCUGUCACUUAUAGAUGGAUCCGCGCCGCAUUAGCUAGUUGGUAAGGUAACGGCUUACCAAGGCAACGAUGCGUAGCCGACCUGAGAGGGUGAUCGGCCACACUGGAACUGAGACACGGUCCAGACUCCUACGGGAGGCAGCAGUAGGGAAUCUUCCGCAAUGGGCGAAAGCUUGACGGAGCAACGCCGCGUGAGUGAUGAAGGUCUUCGGAUCGUAAAACUCUGUUAUUAGGGAAGAACAAAUGUGUAAGUAAAUAUGCACGUCUUGACGGUACCUAAUCAGAAAGCCACGGCUAACUACGUG